UCAAAGAAAUGAACACUUGUAAUAAUUCUUUUUUUAUGCUAAAAUAUCAUUCAUGAGCAGUUUCUCAUGUAAGACUGCGGUAUUCGGGUCUCGCGCAAUGGAGACUCAUGAACCCCGCCAGGUCCGGAAGGGAGCAACGGUAAGUGAUCAUCUUCAUGUGCCGUGAGGGCGCCUGAAUACCGUGUUCUUACCUGAGAAGCUGUUUUUUUUA
rnacentral:misc_RNA from 1 species